CAAUUGGACCCUCAACUUGAUAAGCCCAGAAAGACCCAAAUCCGGACCAAGGCUAUCGACCUAACCCGUUCCAAAACCAGCAAUACAGACUCGUACAAUGCAACCAGUACAUACGCCACCUUCUACUCGUUCUUUGUCUUCUUCAAAGCGCUGCAAACCCAAAUCGAACCCAUCGCAAUCGCGACCUCCAAGCAUCGCACGUGACUUUAUCUUCUCUCCCUUAUCUUAUCAUACGAGGAACGUUUGAUAACAAGGUCAGGUGUCUCAAUCUUGAUGCCUCGUCGUCCUUGCCCUAAAUCAGAGUGCUCUCGUCCUCAAUCUGUUGAGAUUGAUACGGUUGUAGCUGUCCAAAGCCUUCAUCUUUAGUGAAUUUUUGAAUUUGGGAUUCUCCCACAUUGAUCCAGGCCCCUUUUUAUUCCCUCUUUUCCCAUACAAAUAGGAUUCUCUUCACUGUAUACCUAAAAGUUUUGGGGAUUCUUGUCUCAAUAGUUCAAAUUUUUUACUUUUGCGGUUAUUCGAGUUGAGAGUUGAAGGAGGUAGUGAAAUCGUUUCUGCCGAACUCGUUCGCUCAAUUUGCUGUCCAGAACCAGAUGCAGUUACCUAGAAUCAGCACACAGCGCUUUGUUGAUUCCAGAUACAACUUCAAAGUUUGUGACUGGAGACUCUUCAUGAUGCCGUUGAAAAGAUAUUUCGCCUCCAGAAGGAUACCAGCACAGAUAUCGGUGAGCUUCGUAUUUCAAUGACAGGUAUUAAGCAGGAGGGUAUUGCUACUGUCAACAAACUUAUCCGGCUAGUCGAUUUACUGAAAGGGGGAGUCGACUCUUCCAACAACGAACUGGCCAUCUCAGUUUAGAACUCCUACUCCAGUCUCUCCAGGAAUGUGGACGCUCUUACAACUCCUUCAGUGAGAGAGUCAUUAACUCUCUGAAGUACUUUUGGGGUUCCAAGCGCUAAUCUGUUGGUGACCAUCCUCUUUUGCUUUUUGUUAUGGACUUCUUAUGCAGGGUUAUGUCCCUGUUUAACCUUGACUGUAUAUUGAAGGUGCAUAGCCUUCCUAUUGGUUAUCCUUAUUAUAUCUAGACUGCUCUGUUUGUUCUGUUUACCUGUUUAAUUAUGUCAAAGGGGGAGACUAUUAUGCUACUGUCUAGAAGAUAGGCAUUCCAUUCAGGGGGAUCCAUUCAGGGGGAGCCAAACCCAAACAUGGAUCUCGGAAAUUCAUGGAAGUUUCUCCUCAUCUCCUAAUUUCAAUUCAAAAUAUGGAGGAAACUGACUUGUCGAUAGAGCUUCCACAGUGAACCUUUGGAACCAACAUUGAAACCGAGAAAAAGUUAAUUAAUGGAGUAACAAACACAUGUAAUACAUACACAAAUAUAUAAUGUAAUAAUUAAUAUGGAUGAACAUCUUAGUGA